UGCAGUCGAGCGGACAGAAGGGAGCUUGCUCCCGGAUGUUAGCGGCGGACGGCGUGAGUAACACGUGGGUAACCUGCCUGUAAGACUGGGAUAACUCCGGGAAACCGGAGCUAAUACCGGAUAGUUCCUUGAACCGCAUGGUUCAAGGAUGAAAGACGGUUUCGGCUGUCACUUACAGAUGGACCCGCGGCGCAUUAGCUAGUUGGUGGGGUAAUGGCUCACCAAGGCGACGAUGCGUAGCCGACCUGAGAGGGUGAUCGGCCACACUGGGACUGAGACACGGCCCAGACUCCUACGGGAGGCAGCAGUAGGGAAUCUUCCGCAAUGGACGAAAGUCUGACGGAGCAACGCCGCGUGAGUGAUGAAGGUUUUCGGAUCGUAAAGCUCUGUUGUUAGGGAAGAACAAGUGCGAGAGUAACUGCUCGCACCUUGACGGUACCUAACCAGAAAGCCACGGCUAACUACGUGCCAGCAGCCGCGGUAAUACGUAGGUGGCAAGCGUUGUCCGGAAUUAUUGGGCGUAAAGGGCUCGCAGGCGGUUUCUUAAGUCUGAUGUGAAAGCCCCCGGCUCAACCGGGGAGGGUCAUUGGAAACUGGGAAACUUGAGUGCAGAAGAGGAGAGUGGAAUUCCACGUGUAGCGGUGAAAUGCGUAGAGAUGUGGAGGAACACCAGUGGCGAAGGCGACUCUCUGGUCUGUAACUGACGCUGAGGAGCGAAAGCGUGGGGAGCGAACAGGAUUAGAUACCCUGGUAGUCCACGCCGUAAACGAUGAGUGCUAAGUG
rnacentral:rRNA from 2 species